AUACGUAGGUGGCGAGCGUUGUUCGGAUUUAUUGGGCGUAAAGGGUCCGCAGGUGGUUUGUUAAGUUUGACGUGAAAUCCCGAAGCUCAACUUCGGAACUGCGUUGAAAACUGAUGAACUAGAGUAUCGGAGAGGAGAUUGGAAUUCCAGGUGUAGCGGUGGAAUGCGUAGAUAUCUGGAAGAACACCGAGAGCGUAGGCAGAUCGCUGGACGAUAACUGACACUCAGGGACGAAAGCAUGGGUAGCAAACAGGAUUAGAUACCCUGGUAGUCCAUGCCCUAAACGUUGUCAACUUGAUGUGAGCGGAUUUACUCCCGUUCGUGUCGCAGCUAACGCGAUAAGUUGACCGCCUGGGAACUACGGCCGCAAGGCUAAAACUCAAAUGAAUUGACGGGG
rnacentral:rRNA from 1 species